UUAAAUUGAAGAGUUUGAUCAUGGCUCAGAUUGAACGCUGGCGGCAGGCCUAACACAUGCAAGUCGAACGGUAACAGGAAACAGCUUGCUGUUUCGCUGACGAGUGGCGGACGGGUGAGUAAUGUCUGGGAAACUGCCUGAUGGAGGGGGAUAACUACUGGAAACGGUAGCUAAUACCGCAUAACGUCGCAAGACCAAAGAGGGGGACCUUCGGGCCUCUUGCCAUCGGAUGUGCCCAGAUGGGAUUAGCUUGUUGGUGGGGUAACGGCUCACCAAGGCGACGAUCCCUAGCUGGUCUGAGAGGAUGAGCAGCCACACUGGAACUGAGACACGGUCCAGACUCCUACGGGAGGCAGCAGUGGGGAAUAUUGCACAAUGGGCGCAAGCCUGAUGCAGCCAUGCCGCGUGUAUGAAGAAGGCCUUCGGGUUGUAAAGUACUUUCAGCGGGGAGGAAGGGAGUAAAGUUAAUACCUUUGCUCAUUGACGUUACCCGCAGAAGAAGCACCGGCUAACUCCGUGCCAGCAGCCGCGGUAAUACGGAGGGUGCAAGCGUUAAUCGGAAUUACUGGGCGUAAAGCGCACGCAGGCGGUUUGUUAAGUCAGAUGUGAAAUCCCCGGGCUCAACCUGGGAACUGCAUCUGAUACUGGCAAGCUUGAGUCUCGUAGAGGGGGGUAGAAUUCCAGGUGUAGCGGUGAAAUGCGUAGAGAUCUGGAGGAAUACCGGUGGCGAAGGCGGCCCCCUGGACGAAGACUGACGCUCAGGUGCGAAAGCGUGGGGAGCAAACAGGAUUAGAUACCCUGGUAGUCCACGCCGUAAACGAUGUCGACUUGGAGGUUGUGCCCUUGAGGCGUGGCUUCCGGAGCUAACGCGUUAAGUCGACCGCCUGGGGAGUACGGCCGCAAGGUUAAAACUCAAAUGAAUUGACGGGGGCCCGCACAAGCGGUGGAGCAUGUGGUUUAAUUCGAUGCAACGCGAAGAACCUUACCUGGUCUUGACAUCCACGGAAGUUUUCAGAGAUGAGAAUGUGCCUUCGGGAACCGUGAGACAGGUGCUGCAUGGCUGUCGUCAGCUCGUGUUGUGAAAUGUUGGGUUAAGUCCCGCAACGAGCGCAACCCUUAUCCUUUGUUGCCAGCGGUCCGGCCGGGAACUCAAAGGAGACUGCCAGUGAUAAACUGGAGGAAGGUGGGGAUGACGUCAAGUCAUCAUGGCCCUUACGACCAGGGCUACACACGUGCUACAAUGGCGCAUACAAAGAGAAGCGACCUCGCGAGAGCAAGCGGACCUCAUAAAGUGCGUCGUAGUCCGGAUUGGAGUCUGCAACUCGACUCCAUGAAGUCGGAAUCGCUAGUAAUCGUGGAUCAGAAUGCCACGGUGAAUACGUUCCCGGGCCUUGUACACACCGCCCGUCACACCAUGGGAGUGGGUUGCAAAAGAAGUAGGUAGCUUAACCUUCGGGAGGGCGCUUACCACUUUGUGAUUCAUGACUGGGGUGAAGUCGUAACAAGGUAACCGUAGGGGAACCUGCGGUUGGAUCACCUCCUUACCUUAAAGAAGC
rnacentral:rRNA from 1 species